UACGGGGGGGGCAAGCGUUGUUCGGAAUUACUGGGCGUAAAGGGUUCGUAGGUGGCUUGCUAAGUCAGACGUGAAAUCCCUCAGCUUAACUGGGGAACUGCGUCUGAGACUGGUGAGCUUGAGUGCAGGAGAGGAACGCGGAAUUCCAGGUGUAGCGGUGAAAUGCGUAGAUAUCUGGAGGAACACCGGUGGCGAAGGCGGCAUCCUGGACCGGCAUUGACGCUGAGGAGCGAAAGCCAGGGGAGCAAACGGG
rnacentral:rRNA from 1 species